GCGCCCGUAGCUCAGUUGGUAGAGCGGUGGAACGGUGAUCCACAGUCCCGGGUUCAAGUCCCGGCAUUCGCU